rnacentral:rRNA from 1 species
UACGAAGGGGGCUAGCGUUGCUCGGAAUUACUGGGCGUAAAGGGAGCGUAGGCGGAUAGUUUAGUCAGAGGUGAAAGCCCAGGGCUCAACCUUGGAAUUGCCUUUGAUACUGGCUAUCUUGAGUACGGAAGAGGUAUGUGGAACUCCGAGUGUAGAGGUGAAAUUCGUAGAUAUUCGGAAGAACACCAGUGGCGAAGGCGACAUACUGGCCCGUUACUGACGCUGAGGCUCGAAAGCGUGGGGAGCGAACAGG